rnacentral:lncRNA from 1 species
AGUUCACGUAACAUUCAAUCAAUUAUACCAUUGCUCUAUCUCUAAAGUUUUCUUUUUCUCCUUUUCUCAGUGUCUUACCAAGAAUGAAAGGCAACCUAUGUAAAAACUAUGGGCUUUCUAGUAUAAAUAAAAACUACUCAUCUCCAGAAAAUAAACAAUGACUGCUAAGAUGAUUGAAAAAAGAAAGGAGAAGAAAGUAGCUUGUAAAAGCGUGUGAAAUGCAUUCACGUUGGAAUCUCCUACAGGCACUUCAGAAGACGAAGUGCUCCUGAUGGCUGCUUUCAAUCACUGGAAGAACCAUGAAAGUGCGAGAGAUUCCUCCCGGUGAAUGAAGCCAGCUCACCACCGUCAAGGGCAAGGGAUCAGCGUGUGUUCACAUGGAGGCCUCUCACCGAGGGAACCCAAGGGGGACAGCACAGGAAUUGCAGAGCCAGCACCCAUGGAAUGGGCAGGGAUUUGGGUUUCAUCCAACCAGCCAGUUGAUCAAUAAUCACUGAAUGUCUGUCACCCAUUGCAUCCUCUCCUGAGUAGUGAGGCUAGGCCAGUGCCAGUCACCUGGAAAUCCUUACUGUUCUGCAGUUGACAUUUUGAGAGGCAAGUCAAACAAUAUAUAUAAACAACUAGAAUGUCUAGUGUGUUUCAGGAGGUAAAUGCCGUGCCGGGAUGAGCAGAAGGAGGAUGGAGCCGUUGCUGGGCAGAUAGACUGAUUUUAGAUAAAGCCGUCUGGGUGCAGGAAAGAAGACCUUAAAGAGGGAAUGACAUUUGAGCAAAGUCUUCAACAAACUGAACCCAGGAAGAAAACAUUCCGAAAGUCAGAGAAAAGAGGAAGUACGAAGGGCCAGAGCCAGGGAGGACAUUGGCGGAGAUGCAGCCGCAGAAGCGUCAGGGGCCCUGCAGCCGCGAUGCAAACAGAGAAGUGGGCGCAUGGAGCAUACGGGGCAGAGAACCAGCACCAUCUGAAUACACUGCUUAGGCUGUUGGGGCCAUGGCUUCUCUCGAUACCAAAUAGGAGGCUGUGGACAUCAUCUUGGCAGGAAACGACAGUGGCUAGGACCACAGUAGUCACCGUAGAGAUGGAGAGAAGUGGCCAGAUCAUAGAUACAUUUUGAAGAUUAAGCGGACAGAAUUUGCUAUGGAUUAGAUGUGGGUGAAACAGAGAGAGAGAGAGAGGAUAGCUCCAACAUGUGCUGUCUGAGCAGCUAAAGGGGUGGAGCAGGAUGAAUAAAGUAAAGAAAAGAUUGAAAUGGAGACGAAGGGCCACUGUAAGUGAGACAUCCAGACGCAGCCCAAUACUCCCAGGGGAGCUUGCUUACGGCAGAUUCCAGUCACAAGAAGCACCAAAAAUGUCUCCUCUUUCAUUUAUACAUGACGCAAAAUCAAGAGGAUAAGCUGCUCCAAUUUGAAAGCCACACGUUCCUUUAAGGGCAGGGCUGGGCGAAUGGGUUCAACCCUGACUGCUCUCCACCGUCCAUGCAGGACCACAGCCUAGGGUGAAGGGGGCCCUUCUCUGGGUGUUGCUGGGAGGGAGAAAUAUUCCUGAGAUGAGCUUAAGACACAGCACUUCUCCCCUGUGGUGUGAGAGCCACUGUGCCUACAAGGACACUCACAGAAGCUGUCAUUUGGGAUUCGCUGCCAAGAGCAGAGCACGGCUGUUGAUGCGUCGAAACUGAAAAGCCUUCUUCAGCUGGGUGGGCAAGACGGCUGUCUAUGGAGACCCUCCUGAGUACAGAUGCACCUGCUUUUAGCCUCACAUAGACGGGGGCUCUUUAGGACUGUGGGCUGACCCUGAGAAGAAGCCCCAUGGAAGCCUGCUUAUCUCCAAAUCCCCCGUCCUUUCUCCUGAAAGACAGUCUCAGUGAGUGAAGUUCUAGCAUUAUAGAUUUGUUCCUUUGUAAGUCUGACAGGAUUUAUGGUUUGCAAACAUUUUUUAUGAGAAUGAAAAUUACUUUGGGAAAAGUCAUUCAUUUACCACCCUUACUAGUCCUUCCAUAGGAACUGAUUUCCUAUACGAGCUUGAGACAUAUUUGGAAUUGGGCAAAUUCCUGCAGAGGGUAAGAGGACCAGGAACAAUGAAAAAGUGUGGCUGUCCAUGCAGGUAAAAGGGCCCCACAGGCUCAUGUGAAUUACUUUAUUUAACAGCAUCCUCUGCUGUUGCUGAGGAGAGAGGAGUGGCCCUGGCUUCUCAGUCAUAUUUUCCAGCCCUGACUUGUUUACCUGUCUCCAAGAAUUGACCCAAAGUAACACCUUUAAAAUGGAAUUUAUUCUCUCCUCUAUUUUAAAUAACACCUGGAUGAAUGAGAGUCUUUACAACAGAUACGACUAGAAGGAGAGACGCUAGGAAACACAGAGGGAAACAUGGGUCAUUUGCAUCUGCAGCUGUGUGUGUGGCAGCUCAACACUGGAAGCUAAGUUUUCCUAUUCAGGAAGAUGAAGCUCUCGGUGUCUGUGCCCCAUCCCAUGCCCCUGGCUACCUAUUCACAUCCGGGGCCAAUUAGUGCUGUUGAAUUUAUUCCAAAAUCCUCAGGCAAAAUAGAACUCUUUUUGAUUACCUUGGAGUUGACUUCUCCCUAGUUCCUCUCCACAAUGAUUUCUUGCUUUUCACCGAAACUCUUUGAGAAGUUCUAUUUUUUUGUCAUUGGUCAGAGCAGCAUUUUAUUUUGCAUUUCAAUUCAAUUUUUAGUGAUGGAUUUUGGAUUUUUAUGUUCACCUGCCAACUACUUUAACCCAGAAAAUAGCAGCAUUGAGCAGUUCCUGACGUAGCGGAGGUCUACCAGUUGUCAUACAGUAUCAGCUGCCAUUACCCCUUCUGUUGUGUGGUCCUGAGACUGGUGUGCACCUUCACAGCUCAAGGGUCAGUGGUUGCUGCAGGCAAUUCUGCUGUUGGAUAAAUGCUUAGCCCUUUGAGCUUUACAUAUUUUUAACAGAAGAUCAAAGAAGCUGAAAGAGUGAUGGAAAUUAAACUGGUCUUAUCUAUCUAUAUUUUAAUGACUGACUUGGCAUCCUAGUGUGGUAGCAAGAACUUUGGACUGAAAAAAAUAUCACUUCACAGCUGUUCGGCUGUGUGACCUGAAGCUUUUUUUUUUUUUUUUGAGACGGAGUUUUGCUGUUAUUGCCCGGGCUGGAGUGCAAUGGCACAAUCUUGACUCGCCACAAACUCCACUUCCCGGGUUUAAGCACUUCUGCCUCAGCCUCCCGAGCAGCUGUGAUUACAGGUGUGCACCACCAUGCCCAGCUAAUUUUGUAUUUUUAACAGAGUCAGGGUUUCUCCAUGUUGGUGAGGCUGGUCUCGAACUCCUGACCUCAGGCGAUCCACCCACCUCGGCCUCCCAAAGUGCUGGGAUUACAGGCGUGAGCCACCGUGCCUGACCAACCUGAAGCAAUUUAAGUGGACUUUCAAAUUUUCAAUUUUCCCAUUGGGAAAGUGUAAGUUUUGGGAAAAGUCAGUAGUUUUUACAUUCUUUUGUUCUGAUGACGCUUUUUUGUAAAAUCCACAUGUGGAAGCCAUUAGAUCAUUUUGUGGGGCACAGUUUGAAGACCACAGGACUUCAUGAUUUCUGAGAUCUACCCAUUCUUCCAAUCCCAGCUUCCAGCAUCCUCUGGGUACAUCAGAACCUCCCAGUAAAAGGAUGGUGUUGGCAGCUGUCCUGGAAAUGCUCAGCCUCGCUGGGAAUGGGUCCCCUCUUACUUGCUGGGUGACCGUGAGCAUGUUGAUCCCACCUCAGAGCCCCCGCUUCCUCCUCCUCUAUAAAUAGGACCAUGGAUAGUAGCUUGGAGAAUUCAAUAAAAUAUAGUGUGCUGAACACUCAGCACGUGCACUAGGAAGAACCAAAAAUGAGCAGAACCCUCACUGAUAUUUAAUGUCCCCUAAUUUGUCAAGGGACAUUAUAUUGCAUAAGAUUUGCUUUAAAGAAAGUAAAUUCCUUUCAGGCAAGUUGUUUGAGUCACCAAUAGGUUUAAAUCAAAGGAAGUUUUUGUCCUCACGAUUUUGCAUUUUUUAGUGCCUUUCCACAACAAAUGUAUAAAAGGAGCAUUAUUUUUAAGUGUAACUAUUUUGGAAACUUCUUACUUAAAAGCAAUUUUCUACUACAAGUCAAAGGAUUAAAGCAAAAAAAAAAGGUGAAUCUGCAGCAGCAUAUAUUGUAUAUGUUUUCUAGAAAUACUUUUUUAAAGAAGGCAGAGAACCCUAAGCUAAAAGCAGAAUUUAAAUUUCUAGCAUUCAUUCAGCAGCUGUCUCUAUAAGGAGACAGGGUUGAAUUGUGUCCAAGUCAAGCAUCAGAUUUCCAGGGAAAGCAGAGGAGAAAUUAGAAAGUGUGCAGGAAGCAGCAGAAAUGGCUGUUAAAAGGUGAUAGCCUUCUAAAAUUGACAAGACUUCUUGGGUCAGAUAACAGAUCCAAGGGCUAGAGGUCUGAAUUCAGGCAUGGUCGGGGGAGGAGGAGGGGGAAGUGUACAGAAAAAGUGGGUCAGUGCCAAGGGCAUCUCAGCCUGUUUGGAGGAAUUCAAAAUCAUUUAGGUAAAGGGUUAGAGGUCAGAAAAAAUGAUCAGCACAGCAGUGAGGGGUCAUUGGGACGUCCUUGGAUGGAAGUCCUUCAACCCAGCAGUGUUGCAAGGCCUCAGGUUCCCGGUACCUGUCAGUUUUUGCAGCUCGAGGAGGACAGCCUGGGAUCUCAAGCUUAUGUUUCAUAAAGUUGCCAUCCUAAGCUUUGGCAUGACAAAGUCUCUCUCCUUGACAACGUUCCUUAGGGCCUUCUCAGCCCUUUUCUCAAUGAGGAUUCCACGUUGGCUCCCAUCCUCGCUGGGCCUGCAUACCUCCUUUUCAGCAAGAAUCCUGCUGAGGCAGUUUCACAAGAACUUCCCACCCUUAAUGCCUGAUCAUCACAGGCAUCCUAUCAAAUUUCAUACCCCUUUCUUUGAUGCCUUAUCACCUUGGCCUGCCUUCAGCAAGGAUUUGUUGUUAUUUUGGUUGUCAUUUGUUUGUUUGUUUGUUUUAUUGAAACAAGGCAGAUUCUAGGCUUUAUGAUUAAACUCUAAACUAAUCCACAGGCUGAGGGCCAGAUAUUCUCUCACCACAAAGCAUGAGCACAUAUAAGUUCAGUCCCAUGCCACAAACAUCUGUGGCCCUUUCAAGCCAGAUGUGAAAUCACAUCCUGACCAAAAAUACAAUUUUUUUAAUGUGACGUUUUCGAGUGCUUUUAAGAUUUUAUCUGUACCUACCAUGACAUUCAUCAUUUAAUCAGUCUCACUCUGCCAACUCAAGGCGACUGUAUAUCAUGCUUUUUAAAACCAUCGAACAUGCUACAAUGCCCAAAACACAUCCAGAUUGUUAUUGCAUUGGGUCAUUGCAUAAUCUUUCUGGCUUCGCGCCGCUGCCUCCUAAACUUCCCCAGCCACCAGCACAAUCUCUCCAGGAGCACUAUACUGUCCCUGAAAGCUCCUCACCCCAUCCCUGGAGGGCAGUUCCUGCUCCCCAAAUAGCUCGAGCCUCCUUGCUUGUCCCCUUUAAUCCCCCAGUGCUUGGGGUACCCAUAUAUUGACAACGGGUGUUAAGAAACAAUGUCAUCUAAAACCCCUUCCAGAUGCAAUUACAUUUUAACUCAAUGGGAAAUGGCUUGUCAUACACUUCACGAGGAAUAUGAAUGUUGGCAUUUUAGGAAACUGCAGCCAGUGAAUAUGAAAGAGAUGCUGCCCAAAGGGCUGGUCAUCCAGGGUGCCACCUGCCAACCUUGUGGUACGAGUGUCCUGGGCUGGAGGAAACCUGCCUCUCCAGGGACAUGGGAAAAGAACUCAUCAUGGGAAAAAGAACCAUCUUCUGCCUCAAAGACAGCAUGGUUAUGUAGGAAGAUUGAGAAGAGUAAAUAGCUCCAAAAGAAAAAACAAAGUAAAACAGAACACCAAGUAGGAGAAUAUCAACUGUAAGUAUACGCCAAAGUGAAUUAAAAUCCACCAUGGAGAAGAACACGCAUGCUGAGAGGGGCUCUCUCCUUGGCUCUGCCGUCCUGAAGGCAGUGUGGGGAGAGAAGGAGCUGGCUUUUGAUAGCAAUACGGACACUCUGGGAGCUGUGCUGAAUGUUUCAUACUUUCCUUAAUGUAAUUUCCACAGCAUCACCACAAUCAUUACUGUCUCUGCUGUACAUGGGGAAAAGCUUGAGUUAACAGAAGUUAAACAAUUCACCAGUGAUCACACUUACAUGAAAAAGCCAGGUAUUCUAUCUGUCUGAUAACUUGAGCCUGGCCAUUACAUUCAGUUCUGCUGUCUUUAAAAUAAAAACCCUGGAUUAAGUCAUCUCUGGUGGUGUUUUUUUUUGUUGUUGUUGUUGUUGUUUUUUGAGACGGAGUCUCAUUCUGUCGCCCAGGCUGGAGUGCAGUGGCGCUAUCUUGGCUCACUACAAGCUCCGCCUCCAGGGUUCACACCACUCUCCUGCCUCAGCUUCCAAGUAGCUGGGACUACAGGUGCCCGCCACCAAGGCUGGCUAAUUUUUUUUUUUUGUAUUUUCAGUAGAGAAGGGGUUUCACCGUGUUAGCCAGGAUGGUCUCGAUCUCCUGACCUCGUGAUCCGCCCGCCUCGGCCUCCCAGAGUGCUGGGAUUACAGGCGUGAGCCACCACGCCCGGCCUGCUUUGUCUACUUUUAUUUUGAAAUCUUGGGGAUCAUAUAUGGUAGAUGUGUUAAAACUACAAAGAAAUUGUCAUAUGGCCAGGUCUGACUAUUUUUUUGUUGUACUUAACUUACUCAUUUAUAUAUUAAAGAAAAAUGGGUCUAAAAUUAAUUCAAUUUCAAUAAGAUUAUUCUACAUAGCAAAUAUAACUGGUGUUUUAUUUAUUACAUUACGUAUUAUCUAUUUUUAUUAUUAUACUUAACAAU